ACAGGUUGGGACAUAGCCCAGGGUCAGAAUAAAAGGACCUGUAGACUGGACUCUUUCAUCCACUCACUGGCUGAGAUAACCACAGAUCUUUUGCUACCACUCCUCUUGGUCCUGAACACCCACAGCUGAGAUGUCUUGCCAGCAGAGCCAGCAGCAGUGCCAGCCCCCUGCCAAGUGCCCUCCCAAGUGCCAGACUCCAAAGUGUCCUCCAAAAUGUCCCCCAAAAUGUCCUCCCAAGUGUCCCCCUGUGUCUUCCUGCUGUAGCCUGGGUUCUGGGGGCUGCUGCAGUUCUGGUAGCUGCUGUGGCUCCAGCUCUGGUGGCUGCUGCAGCACUGGGGGAGGAGGCUGCUGCCUGAGUCACCACAGACGUCGCAGAUCUCUCAGUCGCCAUCGCCACAGCUCUGGAUGCUGUAGCAGUGGUGGCAGCAGUGACUGCUGUGGCAGCAGUGGCUGCUGUGGCAGCAGCCAGCAGUCUGGAGAUUGCUGCUGACCUGGGUGUGGAAGACUUCACACAAAUGGUGUUGGAGGAUUCAUGCUCAGAAGACACCCCAAUUCUUCUUCCUCUCUUCUCCUGCUUUCCUCCUUACUCUGCUCUCUGAUGUGCUGAAAACUCCUAAAAAUGUUCUGUAUUCUCCUCAGAAAAUAUCAAUCCCUCGUUUCUUCUGUGUUAUAAAUUUAAAAAGCCUUGAUAAUCCUCCCUGACAAGAUGAUUGCAUAUUUUUUCAUGGCUUAUCCUGUUUCCCAUCUCAUAGUCAUCUUUUCCUUCCAACAGACCAUGGUAUCCAGAGCUAUUGUCCUCUUUUAGAAGUGUGUGUCUUUUCUUUGAUGUUAUAUAAACUGCUGUACUCUAUCUGUAUAACUUUAUUUCUCUUUGUAAUAUUAAACUUGGUUUGAAUACAUAAA
rnacentral:sRNA from 1 species